rnacentral:rRNA from 1 species
CUGCGGAGGAUCAUUACUGAGAGAGGGACCUCGCGUCCCCCGGAGGGCUCCGGCCCUCCACCUCAUCAACCGUGUUAAAUCUACCUUUGUUGCUUUGGCGAGCGUCGGGGUGCAUCGCGCCUCGGCCCCGGCUUCGGUCGGUGCGUUCUCGUCGAAGCCCCAUCAUCAUUCCAUUGUUCAGUAGCGUCCGAGUGUACCGAUAAUCAAUUAAAACUUUCAACAACGGAUCUCUUGGUUCUGGCAUCGAUGAAGAACGCAGCGAAAUGCGAUAAGUAAUGUGAAUUGCAGAAUUCAGUGAAUCAUCGAAUCUUUGAACGCACAUUGCGCCCCUUGGUAUUCCGAGGGGCAUGCCUGUUCGAGCGUCAUUGCAACCCUCAAGCUUUGCUUGGUAUUGAGCUUUCGCCGGCAGCGGCGUGCUCGAAAAAUAGUGGCGGUCCAGGGAGACUUCAAGCGCAGUAAAUCUCUUUCGCUUUCGAGGUAUCGCCUGCGGCCCAGCCGUUAAGCCCCCCAACUUUUCAAUGAUUGACCUCGGAUCAGGUAGGGAUACCCGCUGAACUUAAGCAUAUCAAUAAGCCGGAGGAA